UUAGUUUAGUUUAGUUUAGUUUAGUUUAGUUUUGUUUUGUUAGUGGGCAGGGAAUUGGUAUUUAACCCACUUGAUGUUCUUUGAGUUUCCUGAAUCUGAGAUUUAGUGUUUAUCAUUAAUUUGAAAAUGUCUUAGCCAUUAUUAGUUCAGAUAUUUCUUAUACUCUCUCUUCUGGUGUUCCGAUAACGCAUGUUACACUUUUUGAAAUUGCUUCAUAAAUUUUGGAUAUUCUCUUUUGUUUUGUUAAAAGAUUUUUCUCUUUUCAUUUAUUUUUAUAACAUUUCUACUGAUAAGUUUGCAAGCUCACUACUUAUGUUCUUUGGCAUGCCCAGUCUAUUGAUGAUUCCAUCAAAGCCAUUCUUCAAUUUUAUUAUAGAGGUUUUGAAUUAGAGAAAUUUUUUUUCAUUCUUUCUUAGAUUUUUUUCCUUGCAUUACCCAACUGUUAUUGCAUGUUGUGUAAUUUUCCCCAUAGCGCUCUUAACAUAUUACUCAUAGUUUAUUUAAAUUCCUGGUCUGAUCAUUCCAAAAUGUCUGCCUUAUCAGAGUCCAGUUUUUAUGGUUGCUUUUCUCUCUUCAGGUUGUGUUUUUACUUGCCUUUUAGGAUGCCUUAUAAUUUCUUUCUUAAAGCUGGAUACGUUGUAUCAACAUUUAAGAACCAAGGUAAAUAGGCCUUUAAUGUAAGUUUUUAAUCAGGCUAGGUAUCGGUUUGUCUUUAGUUCUUGCUGUAGCUGCAGAUGCCAGAGGCUUCGAUUUCCUCAGGUAUUUUUUUUUCUCUCUCCUUUUGUCUCAAUUUCUCUAAACAUCCCUUAUGAGCCUUAAAGUUUUUCAGCUAUGAUACAUUUUUAUUUCCUUUGUGCUCUUUUGAUGUGGGAAGCAAUCUAUAACCCCAUAAUUUAGUCUCAGUCUUCAUUGGGACUGUGUCCUUCAGCUGUGACAUUCACAAGUGUUUUUAUCCAUUUUCAACCCUUAUAUGAGACAGGAAAGCCAAAAGUGUGUGGAGGUGGGUUAUUUCCCUUUCCCCCUAUACAAUAAGGAUCUGGUAAACUUUUUCCUUUGUUUAGGAGGCUUUUGUAAGAGAGAACACGCUGUACAAAUUUCAAAAUGAUUUUUUCUCCCCUCCCCACUGCUAGAAAUAGUGAGAUUUUUUUUCUGACUCUUCUUGGUGAGAAAUGUGGGGUUCCUGGAGUCAAAACUCAGAGAAGUGUGUGAGCUCCCUAAAACUGCAACCAUGCUCUCACACUAAUCAACAUUUCACCUCCAGCAAUGGAUCAGUGUUAUUUUUCAUCAUUUAUACCACCAGUUUAUGACUCCAGUAGCUUCUCCAGUAGAUAUGCACUUGUCAGGUUGAUACGACUGGGAUUACAAAGACAACACAAAAGAAAAUGAAUCUGAAAGACUGUGAAGACAGAAGGCUGCAGAAGGCUGCAGUUGGAAUAAAGUUCCAAUAAGGUCUUUUUCAUUGACUGUAGGUCUUUCUUAUGGACUACAUUCCGAAUGUAUUUCACAAUAAUUAUUCUUCUUUUUCCCCUGCCAGAGAUAAGAGCUGUCUUUUUUGAAUCUUCAACGUGAGAACCUGGAGAUUUUUGAGUUUUGAGUUCUCCCAAGAUUGUAGCCCUCUGCAGUUUCUCUCAUACUAGUCUUAUCUCAUUCUUCAGCAAUUUGUGAAAAUUACCAGUUAAGUAUUCUUACUAGUUUAUGUAUCUAGCAGCACUGCUCCAAGUAAGUAGAUCUCCAUUUAGUCUCCGGGUUUAUUUUUCUUUACAGGUGGCAGUUUGUCCUCUACUAUCAAUUCUCUGAAAGUCAUUGAUUUUUAGUGUGUUUAGUUUUUUGCUUAAGGUCAGGAAUUUUGACUUCCUAGCUCUUUAUAUGCCAGAGCUAAAACAGAAAGCUGAUUUUGUUUAUGUUCGGUAGAAACAAAAAUAAUCACUAUGCUCAAAUACACUGAGAAGCAUUUUACACAAUUAAAAACGUUAAAAAAAUUAAUCCUUAUUCACUAAUUUACAAAUAUUCUCUAGUAUAUAAUAUGUUCAAAAUGUGCUAUAUGUUAUAAAGUUAAAGAAGGCAAAUUCUUUGCUCUGUAUUUUAUCAUAUAUUUUGUGAAAUAAGAUUUAUUGACAAAUAACUACAAUGUAAUAAAUUAUAUCUUGUGAUAUAUAUGUAUAUAUUUCAUUCUUCUCAGAUUUUAUAAUAAAUAAAAUAUCACAGAGGUACUGUGAAAUGGUCAUUCCCUUCUGUGGUGGUACAAUAUAACAUUUACAGGAAAAAAUAACAUGAAAGAAAUAUUAAUAAUUAUCUUCAUUUAUUUUAUUGAAACUUGAGUAGUUUAAGUUAUAAUUAAUCAAGCUAAUUGAAUAAUAACUAAAAAUAAGCAGAGUGGUCAAAUCAGCAAUGUAAAAGUUAAAUUAAAUAGGUCGUUUUUAUGUUAAUUGGAAAAUAACAUUGAAUUAUGUUGAUUCUGUAAUGUUUUGCAAAAUGGCAUAAAUUAUAUACUUUGUCCUUUUUUCACACAUUUUCAGAUUAAAACUUGGUAAAAUUUUACACUCAACACUUUUAAAAUUUUAACCGGUACCUUGUAUCAGCAUGAAUGACUACCUUUUGCUUCUUACACUUUUCCAAAUUGUGUCAUAAUCCUGAGCCCUAUAAAUGAAAGAAUGUUCUUCCAAGAUUUAUAAACUCGUGGCUUGCUAUUGUUCUUUACAAGCCACUGUGACCUUCUUGGCCCAUCACUCAUUUAAUAAAAUAAUUUCACUUUUAUGGUGGUGCUAAGACUAUGUGUUUAGAAAACCAGUGACCUUCUCUCUCAUAAUAACAAUGUUUUUACAAGUCUAACCUUCUUAAAACUAAAUUUGGUUGAGAAUUUCGCAUCUUUUUCUAAAUGUAAGAAAGUGAACAAUGGCUAGUGCCAUCCACAGCUUGAAAUUUUGCCAAGUUAUAUAAAAGCUCAAAAUAUACUUGUAUUUAGUUUUGUGAGUUACAUUAAAUAAAGUGUCUUUCACUGUCUGUCAAAGGGCACCAUCCAUAAACACAUACUUCACAUCAUAAGAUUAUUUAUAGUGAGUCUCUCAAAAACAAAUGAUACUCUCUGAGUAUGUUAUGAAGAAUUGUAAUAUGAAUGUUUGUUCUAUAGCACUUUUUCUGAAUGUAUAUAUCUGUUUGUUUAUCUUGUUCUUCUUACCUGAUAACAAUAUUCCUAGUGUUUGUAUAAUAUUUUUAUCUUUAACAAUGUUCUUAGUGUUUUUUAUAAUGCUUUAUCUUCUGGGCCAGAAUUUUUAUCAAUAUCAUAUGUGCUUUAAAUAGCAAAAGUAAUGGUAGUCUAUAGAGUUUUUUGCAUCCCUCUUAAGUAGUAUUUCUUUUAGGUCCUACUCACAUACAAAUAAAGCAAUCUUGAAAAAUAUACCUGUCAAUUAUAGACAUUAUGGCUUACCCUUGUGCAUUUUGAUUGAUGUGUAUGAAAGAGCUGUCCUGAUAACUACACAUCGAACUGGUAGAAGCCUUGCAAAAUGUUUAUGAAUAUAAAGAAAUAAAAUAAAUAUUAUAUUUCACAUAAUAUGUUAGGGUUUGCUUAAUUAUAAUUAUUAGUAAUUUUACUCAAAUCUAAUGGGAAAAACAGUGUCAGGGACACUUUAAAAGGUAUUAAAAUUGACUCCUGGAAUGCAUUAUAUCAUUUUCUUCUUAGUGAAAUUAAUUUCCUAACUUUUUUUCAGAUUCCCUAAGUCAAGAUACACUUGUGGGAAAGUGAAUAUGUACAAGUUAUAAUUAUUUCUUCAUAGAGACUCAGCCAGGAUUAAAGCUUUGCUUAGACAACAUAAACAGAAAAUACAGAUAUGGAAAAAUAAGCAGUAGUUAUAAAUUUGCCUUCUCAAAAAAAUAGAAUGUGCUGUGACAAUAACAAGAACAAUAACAAUAAUAACAUACAGUUAUUGAGAUCCUACACUGGAUCAGGCACUGUUCUAUUAGGAAAUUUCUCAAAACUCUCUUUAUUAAAUCAAUACUGUCAUUAGUUCCUUUUCGUAGAGGAAGAAAAUGAGGUUCAGAGUUUUCAUUAACCUUCCUAAAGUCUGUAUAGCGUAGUAUUUAGUUUUGUGAGUUACUAAGAACACUAAAAACACUGUUAAAUACAGAACAAGAUUUUAAACUCCCUUAUUCUCCUUUGAGAACUUGAAAGUCAUAGACCCUGUCUUAUUGUUCAUGCGUACUAUGUGUGAAAUACUGUCAUAAAGAAUGCAUUUGCAUUACUUUACAUGAUUUUUUAUAAUAAAGCCAAUGGGAGAAAAAAAUAUUUCCCCAGUUAUAGAGACAAGAAAACCACAAAGUUGAGGAAGUUUAAAUAAAUCAUACCAGCUACACCCCACUAAUGAAUGGCAUACUGAGGAUUUGAAUUUGGUUUUCUUUUAUCCUGUGGUCUGUGUUCUUAAUCCCUGUAGUGAUAGUCUUUAUAAAAUGUGUUCUCUGUUCCUCAAAAACAGUUUUAUGUAUCAGUGUCCUUUUAGCCUUUUUAGUAGGAUAGUACUUACUUUCUAGUAGUAUAGUGACCUAAUUGCAUCUUAUUUUCAUUUCUCAGCUAUCUGUUGAAGCUGUGUGUUUUAAAAUUUAUAUCUACUUCAGUAUUUCUUUUAUGAGUCAUUGUGCACUAUUUCCAUUUAGUUCUUCUCAAUAAGAUAAUUUAUAGUUGCGGUAAUACAUGCAUUAAAAAUACUAUUAUUAUUUAAAUUAUUAUUUAUAGUAGUAUUAUUUUUA